rnacentral:rRNA from 1 species
AGCGAACGCUGGCGGCAGGCUUAACACAUGCAAGUCGAACGCCCCGCACGGGGAGUGGCAGACGGGUGAGAAACACGUGGGAACGUACCCUUUGGUUCGGAAUAACUUGGGGAAACUCAAGCUAAUACCGGAUAAGCCCUUAGGGGGAAAGGUUUACUGCCGAUGGAUCGGCCCGCGUCUGAUUAGCUAGUUGGUGAGGUAAUGGCUCACAAAGGCGACAAUCAGUAGCUGGUCUGAGAGGAUGAUCAGCCACACUGGGACUGCGAAACGCCCCAGACGCCUACGGGAAGCAGCAGUGGGGAAUAUUGGACAAUGGGUGCAACCCUGAUCCAGCCAUGCCGCGUGAGUGAUGAAGGCCUUAGGGUUGUAAAGCUCUUUUACCCGGGACGAUAAUGACUGUACCGGGAGAAUAAGCCCCGGCUAACUUCGUGCCAGCCGCCGCCGUAA